ensembl:rRNA 5S_rRNA 5S ribosomal RNA
CUGCUCUUUUGAUUUUCCCUGCUCUAGCCAAUGCUCAUAAGCUAAGCAGGGUCGAGCUGGUUCAGAACAUGGAUGGGAGACCUCUUGGGGCUGCUGGAAAAGGGGGAGC